GCUACCCGGGCCAGCGGGGAUGAAGUUUCUAUCAAAGCAGAAGAAAUAGAGGUGAACUACAAAAAGUGAGAACCAGUUUCCUCUGUACUCUGCAAUCUAGGAGAAAAAACUCAUCCAAGGACAGAUCAGGUAAGUAAUUGUUAAUUCAUUCUUUCUAAUGUUUUGAGGCCAUAUGUGGAGACAUGAUUUAUCAAUUAUAACCAUAGAUCAUUGAUUUAAUUCAACUAAGAGACAAUAAGGGUAGAAUCCACAAUAUGGAAAGUUCUUUAACUUUUAUACGGAAGCUUGGGUCUCAGUUGUAAUGUUUGAGAGGGCUGGGUGUAUAGAACUGUGUUCAGUUAUGUGUUAAUGAUUCAUAAAACAUUAAAAACAACAAAAUUGUAAGCUAAGUCUGGUGUAUGUAAUUUAAAAAUAAUAUGAAUAAAGAAGGUUAAGAGAGUUUUGGAGAACAAGAGUCUUAAAAUUGUUCAAGUGGUUGAGUUUAGGGAAGUGAAGGCUAAGGGACGGUACUGCUUUCCAAGUAGAAGAGAUGCUGACUUACUGAGGAUGGUACCUGUCCUAUUCCCACAUCUUUAGAGGAAAAGCAGCAGGAAAAAUUUAGCUUAGAAAAGUCAAAGCUUUUGAAAUUAAGGAUGCUUUUAAGAUUAGAAAGAUUUACCUUGGAAAGUUGUGGAAUCCUCUUGCUGGAAGGUUUUCUAAGUAGCCUGGUCAUCUGCCAAGAAUAGCUUAUGUUUCCAUCAUAAGGCCUUCUAAUUUUAUGUUGCCAUGGUUUGUUUUGAAAAACAUAUGGUGAUUUAUAUCUAAGGCAGUAUCUAACAUGAUAUAUUUAUAAUGCUAGACUAUGUAAACUAAUAGAAUUUGACUUUAGGAGUAUUAUGGAAAAUUAUUUGAGAAGCACAGAAGUAGUCAUGUGUUUUCUUCAGUUUGUUCCAUUGUUGACCAUGUGAUCAUCAUUAACAUGUAUACUUUUUCUGGUCCAUAUAAUACUGUCCAAAUACAUAUGUUAAUAUCAACAACAAUUGAAUUGUAGACUCUUAAUGAAUCACCUCUAUCGAGACUAGAGAGAAGGAUGGGAGGAUAAAAUAAAGAUAAAUGUGUUGGGAGUUCCCAUUGUGGCUCAGCAGGUUGCAAAUCCAACUAGUAUUCAUGAGGAUGUGGGUUUGAUCCCUGGACUUGCUCAGUAGGUUAAGGAUCCUGCAUUGCUGUGGCAGCUGCAGCAUCAAUUUGGAUUUGACCCCUAGCCUGGGAACUUCGAUGUGCCAUAGGUGCAGCCCUAAAAAUUAGCAAAAAAAUAAAAAAUAAAAAAA
rnacentral:lncRNA from 1 species